AGUCGGGAGUGAGGGGCACUGGCAGAGGGGGGGCUGUGGGAGCCCAGGGCAGGGCUAGCAGGGGGCUGCGGGUUGGGAGUGUGUUUGGGGUGUCCGGGGGUGGAAUAAUGGGGAGCUGGGGGUCAGGAAUGAGGGGCAUCUGUGACUCAACAGCUGAGCAUCAGAACAGUGACUCAAUCCUACAACGAUGGUGCAUCGAAAAUGCCUGUAAGAGCAGGGCGCACCGAUUCCAUUGCUAAUAGAACCCAGGCGUCCUGGCUUCCAGCCCUGCCCCCAACUAGGCCACGCUGCCAGGCCCACAUCCUUCACCUGCCUGACCUCCCUCAGCCCAGGGUCGGCUGUGGGGUGCCUCUCUCUUCCUGACCACAUGGCCAGAGCGAUGGGGAAGGAGCGGAGAAACGUCUGGGGAGCUGGCUCCAGGGCUCAGAAACCCACCCACGCGGCACGCUGGCAUUUCUCUUUUGUUCUCCAAAAUCUCCGUUUUAAUUUUUUUUUAAAAAGCAGUAGUCGUGGUCACAAAGAAAACCUCAGGAACGUGACUCAAGUGGAAGCAAUGUCUGCCCGAGUCUGCCGAGAGCCUGGAAUGGGAGCUCGGAGAGAUGUGAACUGCCCCAUUCCACUCAGGGAGAGGGGAACGCCGAUGCCACAGUGCUAAAAGUCAACAACUGCUCACUAUUUCGUCCCUCCUGUAAGGGAGGCUGGCAGAUCGGCCCCGUUCACUGAGAACCACCUCUCAUUUUGGUGCUAGCAGUGGGUGUCAUUUGGGAGAUGCCACCGCUGACUUCUUUUCUCCAGGCAGGAAAGACCUCAGCUCACGGACGAGUUCAAGCCCCACCGAGGAACAGCCCGUGGAGUAGGAUCAUAUCCCAAUAUCUGUGCAAUCUACCGUGAUCAGCACCUCGUUUUGACAACUUGCGUUUAGAGGAGUUCGCUUCCCCCAUCCCAUCUCUCCAUGCCACAAUGGGGAGCAUCUGGGCGCUCUAUGGGCCCCGAACAGCUUCACCAUCAUGAUUCAGAGCAGAGAAGCCUGGCGUUCAAGCCCCACCAGAGGUGGGGGGGUUACGGCUGGGCUGCAGGCUUCCCGCAGGGUGGGGGACACAGGAUUUCAAGGUCUGGGAGGUUGCUGGAUUAAAAUCCACAGAGGGUUUUCAGCUGUGGUCCAGCAGGAGCUGUGAAAUUUACUCCCAUGAAGAGGGAUUUCACCCAGGGCGAUUGGCUGCAAUUUCAGUGCCCUGGAGUGACUUGGCUCUUGAUGGGGAAGGAGAUGAUCAGCGGGUGGGUGGGGAGGGGACCAGCGUGGUUUUGAGCUGAGAGCGCAGAUGGAAAGUAGCAGAGUGCAAGGGGGGUUGGACUGGAUCCGACAUCCCCUUUCAGCUCCCAGAUGAAACUGGGCUCCUGCCGGUUGCGUGCAAAGCACUUGCAAAUAAAAACCAGCUAUUUUCUGCUUCUGCUCUUUGG
rnacentral:lncRNA from 1 species